UCCAGACUCCUACGGGAGGCAGCAGUGGGGGAUAUUGCACAAUGGGGGGAACCCUGAUGCAGCGACGCCGCGUGGGUGAAGGAGCGUUUCGGCGCGUAAAGCCCUAUCGGCAGGGAAGAAGGAGGACGGUACCUGACUAAGAAGCCCCGGCUAACUACGUGCCAGCAGCCGCGGUAAUACGUAGGGGGCAAGCGUUAUCCGGAUUUACUGGGUGUAAAGGGGGCGCAGACGGCAGCGCAAGCCAGGAGUGAAAGCCCGGGGCCCAACCCCGGGACUGCUCUUGGAACUGCGCGGCUGGAGUGCAGGAGGGGCAGGCGGAAUUCCUGGUGUAGCGGUGAAAUGCGUAGAUAUCAGGAGGAACACCGGUGGCGAAGGCGGCCUGCUGGACGGCGACUGACGUUGAGGCCCGAAAGCGUGGGGAGCAAACAGGAUUAGAUACCCGAGUAAGG
rnacentral:rRNA from 1 species